CAUGAGCAGGCUGGGUGUCUUUUUCCUCUCGAAUCGACAGAAAAGAAGACUUACUAAAAAUCUUGGUGACGACAAAAUUUUUACAGACAAUUCAAGUAAAUUAUUAAAAGUAGUAGAAGGAGUAAGUUCAUCAUCAGCCAACAUUUCAUCAGCCGCUGGAAGUUCAUCUCAAAUUAUUAGUGACACAGUAACCGUGAGAGAUGGACGAGUUUUGUGUUGUGAAGUUUCCGGAUGAAAGUGAUGCUGUGGCGGUAGUCUGGAAGGGAUGGAUUCUUGGUGACAAGUGCUAUUGGCCAAAAUUUUCGAAAUACAUUACGAAGUUGGUAAAAAAUAAAACUGAGGUGGAUGUCGAAUCUUGGGAGCCUUGUAAAGUAAAGUUAAUACAUUCGUUUCCAACGUAUAAGGAGGCUCGAGCUCAUCUUAAGCGUGCCGAGUAUACAUCAGAUAUUGGUGGAGGCGACAAAUCCGAA